UACGGAGGGUGCGAGUGUUAUUCGGAUUUACUGGGCGUAAAGAGCACGUAGGCGGAUAGGCAAGUCAGAUGUGAAAGCCCGGAGCUUAACUCCGGAACUGCAUUUGAUACUGCUUGUCUUGAGUGUGGUAGAGGGGGGUGGAAUUCCCGGUGUAGAGGUGAAAUUCGUAGAUAUCGGGAGGAACACCAGAGGCGAAGGCGACCCCCUGGGCCAUAACUGACGCUGAGGUGCGAAAGCGUGGGGAGCAAACAGG
rnacentral:rRNA from 1 species